rnacentral:rRNA from 1 species
UUCGCCCUUAAAAUUUUAUCCUGGCUCAAGACGAACGCUGGCGGCGUGCCUAACACAUGCAAAUUGAAAGAAACUUGAUUUUUGAUUUUUCUGGAAAGAUAGAUUAUAUGACUGAAUGGCCGACCGGUGAAUUACGCCUUAACCACCUUCCCUUUGGAAGGGGAUAAUGUUCGGAAAAGGACCAUAAAUCCGCAUAUAAAUAUAUUUUCCGCAAACACAGUAUAUCAAAACUUAAGGUCCCAAGGAAUGGCCUCCCUUGGAUUAAAAUAUUGGGUGGGUUACCGCCUUCCCAAUUCACCAAUCCAUACCCGACUUAAGAGGUUAACCGUUCCCAUUGGAAUUAACACACGCCCCAAAUUCUUCCGGAAGCCACCAGUGGGAAAUAUUCCCCAAUGGGGGAACCCUUAACGCACCAACCCCGCGUAAAGGAAGACGUUUUUCGAAUUGUAAACUUCUGUUCUUAGUGAAGAAGAAUGACGGUAGUUAAGGACCAACCCACGGCUAACUACGUCCCACCACCCGCGGUAAUACGUAGGUGCCAAGCGUUGUCCGGAAUUACUGGGUGUAAAGGGAGCGCAGGCGGGAAGCCAAUUCAGCUGUGAAAACUACGGGCUUAACUUGUAGACUGCAGUUGAAACUGGUUUUCUUGAGUGAAGUAGAGGUUGGCGGAAUUCCGAGUGUAGCGGUGAAAUGCGUAGAUAUUCGGAGGAACACCGGUGGCGAAGGCGGCCAACUGGGCUUUAACUGACGCUGAGGCUCGAAAGUGUGGGGAGCAAACAGGAUUAGAUACCCUGGUAGUCCACACUGUAAACGAUGAUAACUAGGUGUGGGGGGUCUGACCCCUUCCGUGCCGCAGCUAACGCAAUAAGUUAUCCACCUGGGGAGUACGACCGCAAGGUUGAAACGCAAAGGAAUUGACGGGGACCCGCACAAGCAGUGGAUUAUGUGGUUUAAUUCGAAGCAACGCGAAGAACCUUACCAGCACUUGACAUCCAACUAACGAAAUAGAGAUAUAUUAGGUGCCCUUCGGGGAAAGUUGAGACAGGUGGUGCAUGGUUGUCGUCAGCUCGUGUCGUGAGAUGUUGGGUUAAGUCCCGCAACGAGCGCAACCCCUGCCAUUAGUUGCUACGCAAGAGCACUCUAAUGGGACCGCUACCGACAAGGUGGAGGAAGGUGGGGACGACGUCAAAUCAUCAUGCCCCUUAUGUGCUGGGCUACACACGUAAUACAAUGGCGCCGACAGAGGGAUGCGAAGCGGCGACGCGGAGCGAACCCCAAAAACGGCGCCCCAGUUCGGAUUGUAGUCUGCAACCCGACUACAUGAAGCCGGAAUCGCUAGUAAUCGCGGAUCAGAACGCCGCGGUGAAUACGUUCCCGGGUCUUGCACUCAGGGCCCGUCA